UACGUAGGUGGCAAGCGUUGUCCGGAUUUAUUGGGUUUAAAGGGUGCGUAGGCGGCUUUGUAAGUCAGUGGUGAAAUAUGUCAGCUCAACUGAGAGGGUGCCAUUGAUACUGCAGAGCUUGAGUACAGAUGAGGUAGGCGGAAUUGACGGUGUAGCGGUGAAAUGCUUAGAUAUCGUCAAGAACACCUAUAGCGAAGGCAGCUUGCUAGACUGGCACUGACGCUGAGGCACGAAAGCGUGGGGAUCAAACAGG
rnacentral:rRNA from 1 species